GUCCUUUUGUAAAAAUUUUAAGGUCUAACCUGCCCACUGAAUUAUUUGAAGGGCCGCAGUAUUUUGACUGUGCUAAGGUAGCAUAAUCAUUAGUUUUUUAAUUGAAAGCUAGAAUGAAGGGUUGAAUGAAAAAAUAACUGUCUUUAAUUAAUUUAAUUAAAAAUUUAUUUUUAAGUUAAAAAGCUUAAAUAUUUUUAAAAGACGAGAAGACCCUAUAGAGUUUAAUAUAUCAAUAAUUAUUUAAUUUUAGAAUUUUAUAUUUUUUGAUUUUUGAUUUAUUAAGUUGGGGUGAUUGAAAAAUUUAAUUAACUUUUUUUUUAUUUUAAUAUUAAUUAAUAAUUGAAUGAUCCAAUAUUUUUGAUUAUAAGAAUAAAUUACCUUAGGGAUAACAGCGUAAUUUUAUUAAAGAGUUCAAAUCGAUAAUAAAGAUUGCGA
rnacentral:rRNA from 1 species